rnacentral:rRNA from 1 species
AUUGAACGCUGGCGGCAUGCUUUACACAUGCAAGUCGAACGGCAGCAUGGGUGCUUGCACCUGAUGGCGAGUGGCGAACGGGUGAGUAAUGUAUCGGAACAUAUCCGCAAGUGGGGGAUAACGUAGCGAAAGUUACGCUAAUACCGCAUAUUCCCUGAGGGGGAAAGGAGGGGAUCCGCAAGGACCUUUCGCUUACGGAGUGGCCGAUAUCAGAUUAGCUAGUUGGUGGGGUAAAGGUCUACCAAGGCGACGAUCUGUAGCGGGUCUGAGAGGAUGAUCCGCCACACUGGGACUGAGACACGGCCCAGACGCCUACGGGAGGGAGCAGUGGGGAAUUUUGGACAAUGGGGGCAACCCUGAUCCAGCCAUGCCGCGUGAGUGAAGAAGGCCUUCGGGUUGUAAAGCUCUUUCAGCUGGAAAAAAAUCGCAUCACCUAAUACGUGGUGUGGAUGAUGGUACCAGCAGAAGAAGCACCGGCUAACUACGUGCCAGCAGCCGCAGUAAUAC